CGCCAGACUCCUACGGGAGGCAGCAGUGGGGAAUAUUGCACAAUGGGGGAAACCCUGAUGCAGCGACGCCGCGUGAGCGAUGAAGUAUUUCGGUAUGUAAAGCUCCAUCAGCAGGGAAGAAGAUGACGGUACCUGACUAAGAAGCCCCGGCUAACUACGUGCCAGCAGCCGCGGUAAUACGUAGGGGGCAAGCGUUAUCCGGAUUUACUGGGUGUAAAGGGAGCGUAGACGGCGAUGCAAGCCAGAUGUGAAAGCCCGGGGCUCAACCCCGGGACUGCAUUUGGAACUGUGUGGCUGGAGUGUCGGAGAGGCAGGCGGAAUUCCUAGUGUAGCGGUGAAAUGCGUAGAUAUUAGGAGGAACACCAGUGGCGAAGGCGGCCUGCUGGACGAUGACUGACGUUGAGGCUCGAAAGCGUGGGGAGCAAACAGGAUUAGAUACCCUUGUA
rnacentral:rRNA from 1 species